GGGCUUGUACUGGUUUCGACGGGGGUUUUGAAGUCGGGGAAGCCAUCCGUGGCCCGGACCACGUUAAAACCGAAACCUUUAAAAUUAAACGCUAACGAUAAUACAUUAGCAGUCGCCGCCUGAUUGCCGCGACCGUCGGCCCGGUUGUCCCCGUACUCCCGGUAACCGGCGUUAUGAUUACGGGAAACGAUACAUGCAAAGCUUUGCGCAUGCAGGCGUAAUAUGAAGCUACCAAAGCCGCGAGGACGCCCCUCGCCGCACGGCUGAGGGAAUGUAAAAGGAGAGGCUGUGAUGGGAGAAACUCCGAGGGAUAGAUUUUCGGACGCGGGUUCGAUUCCCGCCAGGUCCAU
rnacentral:tmRNA from 1 species